rnacentral:rRNA from 1 species
CCUACGUGAGGCAGCAGUGGGGAAUAUUGCGCAAUGGGCGAAAGCCUGACGCAGCGACGCCGCGUGAGGGAUGAAGGUCUUCGGAUCGUAAACCUCUGUCAGCAGGGAAGAACGGUCACUGUGCUAAUCAGCAGUGAAUUGACGGUACCUGCAAAGGAAGCACCGGCUAACUCCGUGCCAGCAGCCGCGGUAAUACGGAGGGUGCGAGCGUUAAUCGGAAUUACUGGGCGUAAAGCGCUCGUAGGCGGUAUGUCAAGUCAAGGGUGAAAUCCCCGCGCUCAACGUGGGAACUGCCUUUGAAACUGGCAAACUGGAGUGUGUGAGAGGAUAGUGGAAUUCCAGGGGUAGGAGUGAAAUCCGUAGAUAUCUGGAGGAACAUCAGUGGCGAAGGCGACUAUCUGGCACAUAACUGACGCUGAGGAGCGAAAGCGUGGGUAGCAAACAGGAUUAGAUACCCUAGUAGUC